CCUACGGGAGGCAGCAGUGAGGAAUAUUGGUCAAUGGCCGAGAGGCUGAACCAGCCAAGUCGCGUGAGGGAUGAAUGUCCUACGGAUUGUAAACCUCUUUUGUCGGGGAGCAAAAUGACGCUGCGGUGCCUUAUUGAGAGUACUCGAUGAAAAAGCAUCGGCUAACUCCGUGCCAGCAGCCGCGGUAAUACGGAGGAUGCGAGCGUUAUCCGGAUUUAUUGGGUUUAAAGGGUGCGAAGGCGGCGGUUAAAGCAAGCGGUAAAAUAGGGGGGCUCAACCCCGACGUGCCGUUUGUACUGGCGCUCUUGAGUUCAGUCGAGGUAGGCGGAAUUCGUGGUGUAGCGGUGAAAUGCAUAGAUAUCACGAAGAACUCCGAUUGCGAAGGCAGCUUACCAGUCUGCGACUGACGCUCAGGCACGAAAGUGUGGGUAUCGAACAGGAUUAGAUACCCUGGUAGUC
rnacentral:rRNA from 1 species